rnacentral:rRNA from 1 species
UGCCAGCCGCCGCGGUAAUACGUAGGUGGCAAGCGUUGUCCGGAAUUAUUGGGCGUAAAGGGUGCGUAGGCGGUCUUUUAAGUCAGAUGUGAAAGCCCACAGCUUAACUGUGGAGGGUCGUUUGAAACUGGAAGACUUGAGUACUGGAGAGGAGAGUGGAAUUCCAUGUGUAGCGGUGAAAUGCGUAGAUAUAUGGAGGAACACCAGUGGCGAAGGCGGCCAACUGGACGAGUACUGACACUGAGGUACGAAAGCGUGGGUAGCAAACAGGAUUAGAUA